ACCUGAAACCGUGUACGUACAAGCAGUGGGAGCACCCUUUUGGGUGUGACUGCGUACCUUUUGUAUAAUGGGUCAGCGACUUAUAUUCUGUAGCAAGGUUAACCGAAUAGGGGAGCCGAAGGGAAACCGAGUCUUAACUGGGCGUUAAGUUGCAGGGUAUAGACCCGAAACCCGGUGAUCUAGCCAUGGGCAGGUUGAAGGUUGGGUAACACUAACUGGAGGACCGAACCGACUAAUGUUGAAAAAUUAGCGGAUGACUUGUGGCUGGGGGUGAAAGGCCAAUCAAACCGGGAGAUAGCUGGUUCUCCCCGAAAGCUAUUUAGGUAGCGCCUCGUGAAUUCAUCUCCGGGGGUAGAGCACUGUUUCGGCAAGGGGGUCAUCCCGACUUACCAACCCGAUGCAAACUGCGAAUACCGGAGAAUGUUAUCACGGGAGACACACGGCGGGUGCUAACGUCCGUCGUGAAGAGGGAAACAACCCAGACCGCCAGCUAAGGUCCCAAAGUCAUGGUUAAGUGGGAAACGAUGUGGGAAGGCCCAGACAGCCAGGAUGUUGGCUUAGAAGCAGCCAUCAUUUAAAGAAAGCGUAAUAGCUCACUGGUCGAGUCGGCCUGCGCGGAAGAUGUAACGGGGCUAAACCAUGCACCGAAGCUGCGGCAGCGACACUAAGUGUUGUUGGGUAGGGGAGCGUUCUGUAAGCCUGUGAAGGUGUACUGUGAGGUAUGCUGGAGGUAUCAGAAGUGCGAAUGCUGACAUAAGUAACGAUAAAGCGGGUGAAAAGCCCGCUCGCCGGAAGACCAAGGGUUCCUGUCCAACGUUAAUCGGGGCAGGGUGAGUCGACCCCUAAGGCGAGGCCGAAAGGCGUAGUCGAUGGGAAACAGGUUAAUAUUCCUGUACUUGGUGUUACUGCGAAGGGGGGACGGAGAAGGCUAUGUUGGCCGGGCGACGGUUGUCCCGGUUUAAGCGUGUAGGCUGGUUUUCCAGGCAAAUCCGGAAAAUCAAGGCUGAGGCGUGAUGACGAGGCACUACGGUGCUGAAGCAACAAAUGCCCUGCUUCCAGGAAAAGCCUCUAAGCAUCAGGUAACAUCAAAUCGUACCCCAAACCGACACAGGUGGUCAGGUAGAGAAUACCAAGGCGCUUGAGAGAACUCGGGUGAAGGAACUAGGCAAAAUGGUGCCGUAACUUCGGGAGAAGGCACGCUGAUAUGUAGGUGAAGCGACUUGCUCGUGGAGCUGAAAUCAGUCGAAGAUACCAGCUGGCUGCAACUGUUUAUUAAAAACACAGCA
rnacentral:rRNA from 1 species